AACGUCUAACUCGAAAUUAUUUAAGUAAACUAUUUUGGAGAGGCACCUCCAAAUCUAAUUAAGAGAAUAACAAGAAAUGAAACCUCGGAAGGUGCAAUAACUAAAAACCAUGCAUUGGUUUCAAUGAAUCGAUGACAACUGGGUUCAUAACUCAUCUAUAUUAUGAUAAGUGUAAUGGUGGAGGUACAACUUACAGAUAGUCCCAUUAAUGGAGGAAUCAAAAGCAACUUGAAUGGACUAUAGAAAUCACUUCCUAGCAAUUAUAGGAAGGAUCACUUAUACAAUUCAUACCACGAUAAAAGUAAUAAUCCAUGUACGAAUUCGAAUUUAAUGCGUGGAUUGAUCUACCGUGGAAUGAAGUAUGAAUCCAUGGACGAAUUCGAAUUUAAUACGUGGAUUGAUCUACCGUGGAAUAAAAAUGAGCAGGCAUCACCAAGUCUACGGAUGAGAAACCAUGGAAACAUUCGCUAUUUCGUGGUAGAAAAAAGCAUGGACACGAAUUUAAACAGGGUGCUGGGAACAAGAUACAUUUCCAUUUCUUAUAACACGUAUAUGGCAGAAGAACUGAAGCUUUCCCAGACUUAAACAUUUGUAGUGGUCAAUAUUCAUAGGUUAUUAUCAUAAGUUGAGUUACCAGUAACCGACCACAGUCAAAAAUUAAUUUGUCUUGAGGCUUUUAUUCGUGGAUUGACUCACUGCAAAUUGAAAUCUGUUCUAGAAGCAGUCGAGUCUACGUCCCGCAGCCACUUAUAAAUAUUGACGAUCCAGUUCCGGUACUAUACCCAAGAAGAGUUAGUAAACAAAAGCUAGAUAAGUUCACUUGUCCCUUUUGCAACUAUGUGUGCUUAAUCGAAAAUGGUGACAAACCUCUUUGUGAAUGCGAGAUAAUCUAGACAUUUUUUUAAGCCAGAUACAAAGAUAGGUCUAGAUGGUGAAGCUGCUAAACAAGAUGCAUAGUACCAGUAUUGUAUGUACAAAAUUGAAUGUGGAAAACAAAUUUGAUCGAACAAAUCUCAGGUAUAGAAUCAGGAUCGUCCCCACAAACCAUGGUGAACCGC